rnacentral:rRNA from 1 species
AUUGAACGCUGGCGGCAGGCCUAACACAUGCAAGUCGAGCGGAGCGGCGGACGGGUGAGUAAUGGCUAGGAAUCUGCCAGGUAGUGGGGGAUAACGAACGGAACCGGGAGCUAAUACCGAAUACUAUUAGAUGAGCCUAGGACGGAUUAGCUAGUGGGUGGGGUAAAGGCCGCCCACGGCGACGGUCCGUAACGUGUUUGAGAGGAUGCUCAGUCACACUGGAACUGAGACACGGUCCAGACUCCGACGUGAGGCAGCAGUGGGGAAUAUUGGACAAAGCGCGGAAACCUGAUGCAGCCAUGCCGCGUGUGUGAAGAAGGUCGUCGGAUUGUAAAGCACUUGUAGUUGGGAAGCGUUGCCAACAGAAUAAGCACCGGCUAAAUUCGUGCCAGCAGCCGCGGUAAUAC